AGUAAGCGCAAGUCAUCAGCUUGCGUUGAUUACGUCCCUGCCCUUUGUACACACCGCCCGUCGCUACUACCGAUUGAACGGCUUAGUGAGGUCUUCGGAUCGGCUUUGGGGACCCGGCAACGGGACCUCGUUGCUGAGAAGUUGAUCAAACUUGGUCGUUUAGAGGAAGUAAAAGUCGUAACAAGGUUUCCGUAGGUGAACCUGCGGAAGGAUCAUUAAUGAAUUCGAAUCGGUCAUCUGUGCUGGUGGCAACACAUGUGCACGUUGAUCRUCAUUCCMUUCUCCUUUCAAUCGUCCAAGUGUGUGUCAGGUCGACCUCGGUCGAAGAGUUGUGGCCCUCGGGCCUGAUUCGUUCCAGAUGCGCCUUGGUUAUCUCACCCACUCUGGGUAUUCGAAACAAAGAACAUUUUAUAUAAACUAUACAACUUUCAACAACGGAUCUCUUGGCUCUCGCAUCGAUGAAGAACGCAGCGAAAUGCGAUAAGUAAUGUGAAUUGCAGAAUUCAGUGAAUCAUCGAAUCUUUGAACGCACCUUGCACCCUUUGGUAUUCCGAAGGGUACGCCCGUUUGAGUGUCAUUGWACUCUCAAYCCCACAACUUUUGUUGUGUGGGUUGGACUUGGGUCCCGUCGCGAUCUGCGACCGAUCCGAAAUGUAUUAGCGUGUGUCCGUCGUGACGAUAAACCGAUUGUUAAAUUUCAUCGGGCUCGCUCUGUCRAGGUUGUCUGACGAAAGCACAUGCCGAACCCCCUUUACUUUGACAAUUUGACCUCAAAUCGGGUGGGAUCACCCGCUGAACUUAAGGAUAUCAAUAAGCGGAGGAAAAGAAACUAACAAGGAUUCCCUUAGUAACGGCSAGUGAAGAGGGAAAAGCUCAAAUUUUGAAUCUGGCGCCUUUGGCUCCCGAGUUGUAAUCUAGAGAAGUGUCUUCCGCAUAGGACCGUGUAAAAGUUCCCUGGAACGGGACGUCAUAGAGGGUGAGAAUCCCGUACAUGCCACGGACUACCUUUGCUCUGUGAUACACUCUCAACGAGUCGAGUUGUUUGGGAAUGCAGCUCAAAAUGGGUGGUAAAUUCCAUCUAAAGCUAAAUAUUGGCGAGAGACCGAUAGCGAACAAGUACCGUGAGGGAAAGAUGAAAAGCACUUUGGAAAGAGAGUGAAACAGUACGUGAAAUUGUUGAAAGGGAAGCGUUUGGAGUCAGUCRCGUCUGGCGGGAUUCAGCCUUGCUUCUGCUUGGUGUAYUUCCUGUCCGACGGGUCAGUGUCGAUUUCGAUUGAGGGAGAAAGGCUUGGGGAAUGUGGCCGUCUUCGGGCGGUGUUAUAGCCCCUUGUUGUAUGUCUCAGUUGGGAUCGAGGAAUGCAGCACGCCUUUUGGCCGGGGAUCGCUCCCUC
rnacentral:rRNA from 1 species